UGUCAGACUUGAGUGCAGAAGAGGACAGUGGAACUCCAUGUGUAGCGGUGGAAUGCGUAGAUAUAUGGAAGAACACCAGUGGCGAAGGCGGCUGUCUGGUCUGCAACUGACGCUGAGGCUCGAAAGCAUGGGUAGCGAACAGGAUUAGAUACCCUGGUAGUCCAUGCCGUAAACGAUGAGUGCUAGGUGUUGGAGAGUUUCCGCCCUUCAGUGCCGCAGCUAACGCAUUAAGCACUCCGCCUGGGGAGUACGACCGCAAGGUUGAAACUCAAAGGAAUUGACGGGGGCCCGCACAAGCGGUGGAGCAUGUGGUUUAAUUCGAAGCUACGCGAAGAACCUUACCAGGUCUUGACAUCUUGCGCCAACCCUAGAGAUAGGGCGUUUCCUUCGGGAACGCAAUGACAGGUGGUGCAUGGUCGUCGUCAGCUCGUGUCGUGAGAUGUUGGGUUAAGUCCCGCAACGAGCGCAACCCUUGUUACUAGUUGCCAGCAUUCAGUUGGGCACUCUAGUGAGACUGCCGGUGACAAACCGGAGGAAGGUGGGGACGACGUCAGAUCAUCAUGCCCCUUAUGACCUGGGCUACACACGUGCUACAAUGGACGGUACAACGAGUCGCGAACUCGCGAGGGCAAGCUAAUCUCUUAAAACCGUUCUCAGUUCGGACUGCAGGCUGCAACUCGCCUGCACGAAGUCGGAAUCGCUAGUAAUCGCGGAUCAGCAUGCCGCGGUGAAUACGUUCCCGGGCCUUGUACACACCGCCCGUCACACCAUGAGAGUUUGCAACACCCAAAGUCGGUGGGGUAACCCUUCGGGGAGCUAGCCG
rnacentral:rRNA from 2 species